UAUACAACAUAGUAUCUGGACCCAGCAGUUUAUUCCUGCUGGGGUGUUCAAAGGUCAGUGCCACAGAAAUUCACUACCUAGAAUUGUUGGUUUUCUUAAUGUUGUGCAUGUUAAACCCGGUAUUUCUUUUUUUUUUUUU
ensembl:snoRNA